GUCCAGUGUGAAGGAGGAUGUCAGCAGACUUCAAAUCACUAACGUGACAUUGGAUCUCCAAGGACUGGACCUGUGCUGCUGGAAGUGUCUGCUGGGGUUAGACUGUCUCUUCCCGUUCUGCCAAAUGUUGGCGUAAGAUGGAAUAAACUUGUUCCCCAUUGCU